AUUUAAUAAGUGAUAAUAAAUAUUGCAGAUGGUAUAUAUCAGUUUAUUGAUCCAGAACAGAAGUUAUCGAAGUAUGCACCAAAGUGGUGGAAAGUACUUCGUAAUAAUGGAAUUGAUAAUAGAAAAAAUAUCUUGACUUUUCAUUUUCGUAUAGAAAUAUACGUUGAUUGUCAUUUACUAGUAAAUGAUAAAAUAGCAAGGCAUUAUUACUAUCUUCAAUUGCGUGAAAAUGUCAUUAAGUACAACCAAAGCAUAAAUGAAGAGAGAGCAUUUCUCUUAGCAGCUUAUGCUUUACAGGCAGAUUUUGGGAAUUAUAAUAAAAAUAUUCAUGUUGGAAGAUAUUUUGAACCACAAAAAUACUUUCCUCUUUCAGU